rnacentral:misc_RNA from 1 species
AACGCACAUUGCGCCCGCCAGUAUUCUGGCGGGCAUGCCUGUCCGAGCGUCAUUUCAACCCUCGAACCCCUCCGGGGGUACGGCGUUGGGGAUCGGCCCUUUACGGGGCCGGCCCCGAAAUACAGUGGCGGUCUCGCCGCAGCCUCUCCUGCGCAGUAGUUUGCACACUCGCAUCGGGAGCGCGGCGCGUCCACGUCCGUAAAACACCCAACUUCUGAAAUGUUGACCUCGGAUCAGGUAGGAAUACCCGCUGAACUUAA